rnacentral:misc_RNA from 1 species
GAUGAAGAACGCAGCGAAAUGCGAUAAGUAAUGCGAAUUGCAGAAUCCGUGAAUCAUCGAAUCUUUGAACGCACAUUGCGCCUCCUGGUAUUCCGGGAGGCAUGCCUGUCCGAGCGUCAUGCAAAAACAUAAGCCCCUGAAGAGAGGCUUGCUUCUGAGGGAUGAGCCUCGUCGCUCCCCCUCGAAUUUCAGAGGCGAGGUGCAACGAAUGAAGACAGGUGAAGGGGUAGGUAGUAGUAAAGAAAUUUUCUCUCGACCAAAUCUCCUUGGCCAGUUCUUUGUUGACACUUCAGCCGAUUUAACAACCCACUUCUGUUUUUGACCUCGGAUCAGGUAGGGAUACCCGCUGAACUUAAGCAUAUCAAUAAGCGGAGGA